UACGUAGGGGGCGAGCGUUGUCCGGAUUUACUGGGCGUAAAGAGCGUGUAGGCGGCCAGACAGGUCCGUUGUGAAAACUGGAGGCUCAACCUCGAGACGUCGGUUGAAACCACCUGGCUAGAGUCCGGAAGAGGAGAGUGGAAUUCCUGGUGUAGCGGUGAAAUGCGCAGAUAUCAGGAAGAACACCCGUGGCGAAGGCGGCUCUCUGGGACGGUACUGACGCUGAGACGCGAAAGCGUGGGGAGCGAACAGG
rnacentral:rRNA from 1 species